AUAUACCAUUUGUUUUUUAGCAAAAUUAUUUCUCCUGAAAUGACAUUUUCUUAAUCAUUAUAUUAGCAUAUUAUAUAAAAUCGACGUAUAUUUAUUUACGCAAUGGUCAUUAGCCAUCGUCAGUCGAUUUCAGGAAAAGGGUACGUAAAGUUAGAGUGUGAAAGUAGCGUGCCAAGCUCGGGUGUCGGAAGCGUCCCGGGACGUUUUUCCUAGUGUAGGUUUUUGCACCCGAGUAUUAUGCGUGAGAAUCGUGGACUGAAUGUGUUGGGUAUUUGACUGGGAAUAAAAAUUAUACAACAUAACUUUAAGCUACACGGAUGAUAUUUAACAUUGAUGGAACAAAAUGUGUAUAUAAUUCAAUGCAUGAAUAAUUAAUUGUGUGAUAAUGUGUAAUUAAUUAAUUGUGUGUUAGUAUGUGCUAAUUAAUUAUAUAGAAUAAUGUAGUAUAAGUAAGUAAAAAAUGAGUAAUGUAUUGUUUAUUUAUUCUA